rnacentral:piRNA from 1 species
UGCAGGAAGCAGUGUGGGAAGAUCCCUGA